rnacentral:rRNA from 1 species
AGCAUAUCAAUAAGCGGAGGAAAAGAAACCAACAGGGAUUGCCCUAGUAACGGCGAGUGAAGCGGSAACAGCUCAAAUUUGAAAUCUGGCUCUCGGGCCCGAGUUGUAAUUUGUAGAGGAUACUUUUGAUGCGGUGCCUUCCGAGUUCCCUGGAACGGGACGCCAUAGAGGGUGAGAGCCCCGUCUGGUUGGAUGCCAAAUCUCUGUAAAGUUCCUUCGACGAGUCGAGUAGUUUGGGAAUGCUGCUCUAAAUGGGAGGUAUAUGUCUUCUAAAGCUAAAUACCGGCCAGAGACCGAUAGCGCACAAGUAGAGUGAUCGAAAGAUGAAAAGCACUUUGAAAAGAGAGUUAAAAAGUACGUGAAAUUGUUGAAAGGGAAGCGUUUAUGACCAGACUUGGGCUUGGUUAAUCAUCUGGGGUUCUCCCCAGUGCACUUUUCCAGUCCAGGCCAGCAUCAGUUUUCGCCGGGGGAUAAAGACUUCGGGAAUGUGGCUCUCUUCGGGGAGUGUUAUAGCCCGUUGUGUAAUACCCUGGCGGGGACUGAGGUUCGCGCAUCUGCAAGGAUGCUGGCGUAAUGGUCAUCAACGACCCGUCUUGAAACACGGACCAAGGAGUCGUCUUCGUAUGCGAGUGUUCGGGUGUCAAACCCCUACGCGUAAUGAAAGUGAACGCAGGUGAGAGCUUCGGCGCAUCAUCGACCGAUCCUGAUGUUCUCGGAUGGAUUUGAGUAAGAGCAUACGGGGCCGGACCCGAAAGAUGGUGAACGUAGA